rnacentral:lncRNA from 1 species
CCAGUGUCUGCCUCCCCCAUCACAUGGCUGGCUUCUGUGCAUCUGUGUCUCUCAUCUCCUUAUAAGGACACCAGCUGGGCAUGUGGCUCAUGCCUGUAAACCCAGCACUUUGGGAUCCCAAGGCAGGUGGAUCAUGAGGUCAGGAAUUCGAGACCAGCCGGGCCAACAUGGUGAAAUGCCGUCUCUACUAAAGAUACAAAAAAUCAGCUGGGCGUGGUGGAGUAUGCCUGUAAUCCCAGCUACUCAGGAGGCUGAGGUAGGAGAAUCGCUUGAACCCGGGAGGCGGAGGUUGCAGUGAGCUGAGAUGGCGCCAUUGCACUCCAGCCUGGGUGACAGGGUAAGAUUACAUCUCAAAAAAAAAAAAAGGACACCAGUCAUAUUGGCUUAAGGGCCCACCCUAUUCCAAUAUGACCUCAUCUUAAUUUUAUUACAUCUGCAAUGACUCUUUUCAAAUAAGGUCACAUUGUGAGAUACUGAGGGUUGAGACUUCAACGUAUCUUUUGGAGCAUGCAGUUUCACCCAUAACAAUAUAUAUUUCAUGUUUUGGUUAGCAUUGAACUGGUAUAUCUUUUUCUAACUUUUUAUUUCCAAUUGUUAUGGUUUUGCUUUAGGUGUAUCUCUUAUAAACUUUGUUCAUUUGUUUUAUCUAAUCUGAGAAUGUUUCAUUUGAGAGGUAAUCUGUUUACAUUUAUUAUAAUGACGUAUAGUUUAACUGAUUCCUGCCAUAUUUUGUUUUCUAUUUCCCACCCUUUUGUUUUGCUUUGGUUUUUCUCCUUUCCAGCUGUCUUAGUCCCCCCAACACACACACACACACACACACACACACAAAGCAGACUCUGAAAUAAUGGCUUGUCUGCAGCUUGUUUAUUUUAGGAAAUGAUUCAACGAAUAGGAGUGGGGCGGGGGCUGGGAAGAAUGAAAAAGGGAUGAAGACAAAGCUGAUCAUCACCAUAGGCAAAUAGGGUCAAUCCUAUUAGGGACCCUAGAGGAGGGACAUGGAUGCAUCUUGGUCUUGUCUUCAGAGACACUAAUAUUGCUUUUCAAAUGUGGCUGUGUCAUUUUACCUUACAUUUCUCUAUCACAUAUAGAGCAGAGAGUAUUUGGAGCAGAGGGCGUACAUUGCAGCAUGAAUUUACACCACUAUCCUGGCAUGUCUGCAUGGCUGCCAUUUAACUUCUCCAUCAUCCUAUGAGGCACUUUAUCAUCCCUAUUUUAGAAAGGAAGAAAUUGAGGCUCAGAGAGGUAAAGUAAAUUGCCUGAAGUCACACAGAUAAAAAGUGACAGAGCCAGAACUCAAACUCUGUUUUAUCUGAUUCCACAGCCAUUCCUUCCAACCUUAAGCUCUACCGCCUGUGUGGUGCUGGGUGUGAGUCGGAGCUAGCCUGGGUUUACCUGAGUUGCAGGGUCACCCCUCAUCGCACCCUUGUCAGUCCUCAAAUAGGGGUGCAACUGUUCCAUGAAAGGGAACAAAGAGACUGAGCUACUAGACACCAAGCUGUUUAGGACUGAACCCAUUCCUGUCCAAACGGAAGUGAUCCAGAGGGACUCUGAAUAUUACAGAAGUCAAGAGAUUUCAUCAUCUUUAUUCAAAGAAAGGGGUUUGUUUGUUGAUUUUUUGGAUUUUUUUUUUGGACCACAGCUCUAUCUACUCCCUGAAGAGUAAGGAUUAUUAAGUAAAUCAGAUGGAAAAAGAAUCGCAAAUAAGCAUAAUGUGAAGAGCAUGAGCUUUGGAAUAAGCAAGCCUGGAAUUACAAUUUUCUUUUAUUAGCUCUGUGGCUGUAAUACUCAACUUUUGCAAGCUUCAGUUUCCUCGUCUGUGAAAUGGAAUAAUAGCACUUACCUCAUUGGCUGUUGUAUGGAUUAAAUGAGACCAUGACUAUGGAUGUAUGGCAUUUGGUACCCAAUAACCCCUCAAUAAUCGGCAGCUAUAAUUAUUCAUAAUAAUAAUGGUGGUAGCAACAAACCCAGCCCAAACAUCUGAAGGACCGAUCACUAAAAAGAAGAUGAACUCAGUCCUACGUAGUAACAAGAAUGUGACAUCUAUGUUGUUGCCAAAAGUCUGGAGGAGUUGCCAGGACCAGAGAGAAGGAGGUGGUGAGGCCGGCCUGGAAGAGGGAGGGGACAGAUGUCAAGGACCCCAAUCUUGAGGUGGAAAGUUCUGUGAUUAACCCAGAUGAAUGUCUCUAACCUCCAACUCUUCUGUUCUCAGAGUUUUAAUGGGGCACACCGUGUGCUGGGCAUUGACAUAGAUGGGAAAAGCAUGACCUAAAAUAAGGGCUGGAAGCCAAGACUGGGAGGAAGGGCAAAGGGAGCAGGCAGCCUGGCACCAGGUACCAGUGAGGUGUCUGCUCUUUGUCCCCAUCACCUGUCAGCUAAGGAAUUCUGCAUGUCAUCAGUGCAAUAAAAUGUGAUCGCCAGAGUGAAAACCUUGUAAUAGACCAGCUGUGGCUUCUCUCAACACCAGUAUGUCCAAGGAGGAUGCAUUUUUAUUGCUUUUGUGGUCUUAACAAAAAAGAUUCAUGAGCAUUGUAUAAAAGGCAUAUUAAAACAAUUCGGUAAAAGGAUGAAAGAAAAAUAGAGUGCUUGUAGAUUUUUUUUCAGGACGCACACACCUAUACCUGUAUAAAAACGUUGUAUUACGGAAGCUCUCACACAUACACAAAAGUAGCAUGAAUAGCACGUUGGACCCCGAUGUACUCAAGACCCACCUUCAGCAAUGGGAGUGCUGUGUUUAUGAGAGUCCCAAUUAAAGCAACAUUGCUCUUAACAUUUUCCCCAUGUGUCAACAAGCUCCAGUGACCCCAUAAUGCAAACUUAUUCAAUCCCCUGAUAUCCAAGCACCUGAAAUUACCCCUCAUCUCAUUCCCCAACUGCCUCGAGCUCCUAUCUGAAGUAAGAGAGAGAGAGUAAAGGAAGAAAAGUUAGGAGAGGAAACAAGAAAGGAAGAGGAAAAUGAUACUCCAAGGUACCCCACAGCAGUCUGGGGCUGGGGUGGUAACAAAGGCAGCAGGAGGGGCCGAAGGCAGAAGCAUGGCACCAAAUGAGGCAGGUGGGGCCCUUGCAAAGUUGGUUCCUCUUGUGGGUGGGUGUUGGAGGGAGACAGCCCAUUCAGGUUAGGCCCAGGCUGGUUUUAAAGGUCAUGGUGCGUGGGGCUCUCACCCCAUCCUCACAGGACCCUGUGGCACACGGGGUGCCCUGCAAGUCAGCCUGAGGAAAAACACACACCGCCCCAGCUCUGAUUUCCGGAGGGGCCGGGGGCGACGCGAAGCAGGUGCGUGCUGACACCUCCUCCGGGGCCACGCUCAUUUGGCACACUCCUAGGCUGUUUGUUCUUAAAGGCUGCAUCUUUGAGACUAAAAAUAACCCUCAGUUCAGCUUGGCUGUUCUUUCUCUGACCUGGUGACAGAGAUGGGGGCGAUGCUCCCGGCUUGGGGUGUUUCCAGCCUAGGCUGCCCUUUUUCCACCGUAUUCCCUGCCCAGCCAGCCAUGCUUCAUCAUGAUCCCUUGGUUUAAAAAAAGAAAGGAAGGAAGAAAGAAUGAGAGAGAGGGAUUUGUAGGCUCUACCAGGUAGGAAAGUCACAAGGCCUCACUAGAAUAGCAAGUCGAUGCCACUAGAAUAGCAAGGGAGGGAUCUUGAACUAAAGUGACAACCCCUUUAUCAACUAGGAAGCACCAUGCAAAUGUGAGUUCCGCUGCAGCAUGAGGUGGGAUCCGAAGGGUGCCACAAAGCCGGGUUUACCCCCAAAGAGCUCCACAACUUUACACAUCCACCAUUAGAAUUAUUCCUUUCAGAUUCAAAAAUUGUGCCCUGUUAAAAUAUCUGGGAGGGUUGGUGCUGGCGAUUAGAAGUGACGCUUUCUUAGGAGGCCAGAGAUCAAUGCAAUUUAAAAACCUUAUAAAUACGGGACCUCAAUUCCAUUCUGAUCCUUAUUCCUGUGCCUAAGGACCCACGGGUAGGUGUAAUCAGUAUCCCUCAUGGAGGAGAAAACAGCCUCAGAGCUACAGUGUUGCAGAGAUGCAGCUGUGAUUCCAACCCACUGCCCUCAUUAUUACCAGUCAGUGACUGGAGUAGCUGCUCAGCUCCUCAGGGCCCUGAGGAGGGCAGUGGGACAGAGCAGGGAUGACUGUUGGAGGAGAACCCACCUCUAGGGGCCUAUAGGAGAGGGCUGCUUACAGGCCAAAGACACACCUCACCCUUUCACAGUUUUACGGAGGGCCAUCCUGCCUCACAGACAAUAGGGAAGAAGGUGCUAGAGCUACAGAUCCCACAUGGGGGUGGCAAAAAGAUUUGUCUGGAGUUCCCACCGCAAUUGUUUCCUGAUGCUGCCUGGAGCUCUGUGUUGAGCAAUGAGGCGUGAUAUAUUAUUGUGGUCUGCCCUUGGUGCUGGGUUAGGACAUGACAAGACGUGUGUUUCAAGAGUUUGCCAUCCCUGCCGCGAACCACCUGUCCUCCACAGUAAGGGUAAUGAUGAGAGUGGCCCUCAGGGUAGGAGGGGUGGUAAACACACCACAAAAACAGAUACUUCUUGCCUUGAUAG